rnacentral:rRNA from 1 species
GGUUUGAUUCUGGCUCAGAUUGAACGCUGGCGGGAUGUUUUACACGUGUAGUCGAACGGCAGGCACGGACUUCGGUCUGGUGGCGAGUGGCGAACGGGUGAGUAAUGUAUCGGAACGUGCCUAGUAGCGGGGGAUAACUACGCGAAGGCGUAGCCAAUACCGCAUACGCCCUUCGGGGGAAAGCGGGGGACCUUCGGGCCUCGCACUAUUAGAGCGGCCGAUAUCGGAUUAGCUAGUUGGUGGGUAACGGCUCACCAAGGCGACGAUCCGUAUUGGUCGAGAGGACGACCAGCCACACUUGGGACUGAGGACACGGGCCCAGACUCCUACGGGGAGGCAGCAGUGGGGAAUUUUGGACAAUGGGGAAACCUGAUCCGCGCCAUCCGCGUGCGAUGAAGGCCUUCGGGUUGUAAAGCACUUUGGCAGGAAAAGAAACGGCACGGGAUAAUACCCCGUGCAACUGGUUUGGUACCUGCAGAAUAAGCACUGCUAAUUGCUGCCAAAAGGCGCCAAGGUAAUACGUAGGUGCAUGGUUAAUCGGAAUUACUGGGCGUAAGCGUGCGCAGGCGGUUCGGAAAGCAAAGACAACCCAGAGCUUAACUGGAACCAGGUAUUUUAACUGUCGAGCUAGAGUGUGUCAGAGGGAGGUGGAAUUCCGCGUGUAGCAGGAAAAUGGCAGAUAUGCGGAGGAACACUGAUGCGAAGGCAGCCCUCCUUGGAUAACACUGACGUCGCAUGUGGUCGAAAGCGUGGGGGAGCAAACAGGAUUAGAUGUCCGGUAGUCCACGCCCUAAACGAUGUCAACUAGCUGUUGGGGCCUUCCGGGCCUUGGUAGCGCAGCUAACGCGGUGAAGUUGACCGCCUGGGGAGUACGGUCGCAAGAUUAAAACUCAGCGGAAUUGAUGGGGACCCGCACAAGCGGUGGAUGAGGAUUAAUUCGAUGCAACGCGAAAAACCUUACCUACCCUUGACAUGUUCAAUCCCGAAGAGAUUUGGGAGUGCUCGCAAGAGAACCGGAACACAGGUGCUGCAUGGCUGUCGUCAGCUCGUGUCGCAGACAGCUGGGUUGUCCGGCAACGAGCGCAACCCUUGUCAUUAGUUGCUGCUUUAAAGCGCACCUAAUGAGACUGCUGGUGACAAACCGAGGAAGGUGGGGACACGUCAAGUCCUCAUGGCCCUUAUGGGUAGGGCUUCACACGUCAUACAAUGGUCGGGACAGAGGGUCGCCAACCCGCGAGGGGGAGCCAAUCCCAGAAACCCGAUCGUAGUCCGGAUCGCAGUCUGCAACUCGACUGCGUGAAGUCGGAAUCGCUAGUAAUCGCGGAUCAGCAUGUCGCGGUGAAUACGUUCCCGGGUCUUGUACACACCGCCCGUCACACCAUGGGAGUGGGCUUACCAGAAGUAGUUAGCCUAACCGUAAGGAGGGCGAUUACCACGGUAGGAUUCAUGACUGGGGUGAAGUCGUAACAAGGUAA